GGAUAACCUGCCCUAUCGUCUGGAAUAACCUCGGGAAACUGAGAAUAAGGCCGGAUAGUUCACAAAGCCUGGAACGGUUUGUGAAUCAAGGUAGGAUGGGUCUGCGGCGUAUCAGGUAGUAGGGGGUGUAAAGGACCCCCUAGCCUUCGACGCGUACGGGUGUUGGGAGACAUAGCCCGGAGAUGGAUUCUGAGACACGAAUCCAGACCCUACGGGGUGCAGCAGGCGCGAAAACUUCACACUGCAGGAAACUGUGAUGAGGGAACUCCAAGUGUGUGCACUAUGUGUACACUUUUAUGAACUUUUAAUCGGUUCAGGAAUAAGGGCUGGGAAAGACCGGUGCCAGCCGCCGCGGUAAUACCGGCAGCUCAAGUGGUCGUCGCUUUUAUUGGGCCUAAAACGUCCGUAGCCUGUUUGGUAAAUCUGUGGGUAAAUCAACUCGCUCAACGAGUUGAAUUCUGCAGAGACUGCCAGACUAGGGACCGGGAGAGGUGUGGGGUACUCGAGGGGUAGGGGUAAAAUCCUGUCACCCUUCGAGGACCACCAGUUGCGAAGGCGCCACACUGGAACGGAUCCGACGGUCAGGGACGAAGCCUAGGGGCACGAACCGGAUUAGAUACCCGGGUAGUCCUAGGUGUAAACGCUGUGAACUUGGUGUCGGGGGUCCGCAAGGGGUCCCCGGUGCCGGAGUGAAGAUGUUAAGUUCACUGCCUGGGGAGUACGGUCGCAAGGCUGAAACUU
rnacentral:rRNA from 1 species